AAGGUAAGCAGAGAGAUUGAUUGGUGGGGCAAUAGAUAAAUAGACAGACAGAUGAAUUACUACUUCAUAUUUAGAUUGAUCAAUAGAGAGAAGAAUGUUAAAGAGCAUCAGAAAAGUAACUGACGUACAGAAACAAAAGAGAAAGGGGGCAAUGACAUGAGAAAAAAAGAAAGAGCGGAGAACGCACAUACACAAAUGAUAGAAAGAGAAAGAAAGUGAAAGAGAAAAAAAGAGGGAAGACGGUAAGGAGUGUCGUGGAUUUUUCUUAGCGGCCAUUGUUGCGUUUGAUGUAUUUCUCUAUCAUAUUGGAUGAUGUUAGCUGGAAAGUACAGAGAUGAGUGGACCGAACUGUCCAUGUUUUAAUUGCCUUACUACAAGCUCAGACUCGCUUUAAUCAGACUCUACUUAACAACAAAACUUCAUUAUAUAACAGAAGAAUAACAGUAGGCAAUGACAUAGAAAAUGGCGAAACAUUUAAAAUGAGGGACCUUGGUGUUGCCUUGAAGGAAACCGUUGAAUGGACUUUUCGUUUCAGCUCCAACAUGAACAAAAAAUGUUACUGCUUGUGGCUCUGUCUUCUGGUUGUUUCCUGUAGCAAAUGCGUUGACAUGAAGCGUGUUACUGGACAUUUAGUCACCAAGGAAAACUGGAAAUUCCUGACUCGCUUUUGCUUUUUGUCUGGAGAUGAUCAGAACCGUCUUGGUUCAGUACAGUAUUCCUUCCAGUUUCCUGCUAGUUAUCAGGGUAUGCAGCUGUAUUUCUACUUUGAUGACCAAUGGAAGGAGAUUUACGACAGUGAAAAGACAUGUGAAGACAAGGUGUCUGUACUGCGGCCUGAUUACUUCCAAAUUGUUGACCUGUCUGAAGACUAUGAAUGGUCAGGAUGUCAGCUGAUGAACCAUAGUGGCUACAGUUACAAUAAAUGUGAUGGAAUCAGGUUCUUCCGGUCGAUCAGACCACGUUGGUGGUUCAUCACUGUUGGACGAUGUAAACCAGUUAACAACAAUGGUAUCAAUCUCACCUACUACCUACACCUGACCAAUGGUAAUCUUGGGGAUUAUUUCCACAGGGAACUGUCUGCUGACCAAUUUACUAUUCUAGAAGUGGAUAUAGCAUUUCUGAUCUUCUUUGUCAUCUUGGCCUGUGUUGCUGUUGUCUUUUCUAUAAUCCUCCGUAACCGUCAGCUCUACCACUCCACUUACAAGAUGUUCAUCUUCUCUAUAAUGAUGUAUAUUGGCUUCCUAUUUUUCAUCUGUAUACAUUAUGGCAAGUACGCAGAGACUGGCAUUGAGAAAAGAGAGUAUAAAAUAUUGGCCUACAUAUGCCAAGCUGUCAGUGUGAUGACUUUCCAGUUGAUGUUGAUUCUUCUUGGCAAAGGGUUCACCAUUACAAGGGGUUACAUCAGUCAAAUAGGCUCCAUCAAGGUUGCUGUAUUCAUGACAGUCUAUGUCUUCAUCUAUGUUGGAAUAUUCAUCUGGGAAGCUGAGUUUUUUGAUCCUGGCAUUGUGCUGUACCGCUAUGAAAGCCCCCCUGGUUAUGGGCUGAUUGGUAUGCGAGUUGUUGGAUGGUUGUGGUUUUGCUAUGCCAUUGUUACGACAAUCAAGCAUCACAUUGAGAAACUAUCUUUUUAUAUUUUCUUCUUUUUUGUUUUUACACUCUGGUUCUGGGCUACUGUGAUAACAUUUCUUGUUGCUAAUAAUGCAGUUCCUUGGCAUUUGAGGGAAAAAAUUGUCAAUGGAGUUGAAAUAUUUAUUGACUUUUAUGCACAUCUAGUGUUUUUGUUUCUCACUAGUCCUGUCUUGAUCAACAGAAUCUUCCCAUUUCACAUCAAAACAUCUCAAAUUUGUCCAGUUGAAGAUGGUGACUGUAUAUCUGGAGGGGGAGAGGGUGAUAUACAAAAUAUCCAACUAUCAACUGUGUCUCAUUCAUAUAUCAUGGACCGAGGACCAAACAUAGCCAACUUAUUUGUUACCAGUCACACACUGUCUACAAAACCUGGUCAAACUACAGUGCCCUCUGAGAAUCUUCUCACAAGACCAGUGAUGCCGGUUUAAACCCUGGAAUGUAAAGAGCUGUGAAAUCAACUUUAAUAAUUUGUUGAAGCAUAAGCUUCCAUCUACAACAAGUGUUAGCUCAAGAGACACAUCGCUUAUAGAUGUCCCUCCUUCUGGUGCAAGGAAACCAUCACCUCCACCAUCCUAUGAUGUGCUCUUUAAGGCCAAAGGUGGCAGCUAAA
rnacentral:misc_RNA from 1 species